UACGUAGGGUGCAAGCGUUGUCCGGAAUUAUUGGGCGUAAAGAGCUCGUAGGCGGUCUGUCGCGUCGGCUGUGAAAACUCGGGGCUCAACCCCGAGCCUGCAGUCGAUACGGGCAGACUAGAGUGCUGUAGGGGAGACUGGAAUUCCUGGUGUAGCGGUGAAAUGCGCAGAUAUCAGGAGGAACACCAAUAGCGAAGGCAGCUCGCUGGGACGGUAUUGACGCUAAGGCGCGAAAGCGUGGGGAGCAAACAGG
rnacentral:rRNA from 1 species